UACGUAGGGUGCGAGCGUUGUCCGGAAUUAUUUGGGCGUAAAAGGGCUCGUAGGCGGUUCUGUCGCGUCGGGAGUGAAAAACUCAGGGCUUAAACCCCUGAGCCUGCUUCCGAUACGGGACAGACUAGAGGUAUGCAGGGGAGAACGGAAUUCCUGGUGUAGCGGUGAAAUGCGUAGAGUAUCGGUAGGAACACCAGUGGCGAAGGCGGUCUCUUGGGGCAUUCUUGACGCUGAGGCGCGAAAGCUGGGGGAGCGAACGGGA
rnacentral:rRNA from 1 species